GCAGCUUCUGAGAAAGAGCUCAGUCCAAUGGCAAGUUCAAGUCCACGGGUGAAACAGCCAGGAUGCCCUCCUGGAAGGGAAAAGUGGCAGAGCCCUGUGAGCAGGGCAGGUGUUCCCCCCAUACAGCAGCGUCCACAUCAGCCCUGUGAGAUUAGAGACGGGAAGGCGAGGAACCAGAGAGCGGAGGGUGACAGACACCCAGACAAGGGGACAGAGACCCAGACAGAAGGGCACAGGGAUGAGGGGGCAGGGUCCUAGCAGGAGGAGGAAAGGUUGAGCUCGAGGAGGGUCAGGACACUGGAGUGGGAUUAGACAGAGAUCCAGAGAGAGUGAAGAGUUGGGGGACAGAGUCAGAGAUGGGGAAGAGAGUCUUGGGAUUUGAACAAUUCAGAGUCGUGGCUUUGUGUACAAAUCCAGAUUCCAACACUCUGCAUGCUGGGGACUUUUCCUCUCUGCCCCCACAAGACGAGGACAAUAAGAGCCCCAUGAGGUUGUAGUGGGUUUAAAUGGGAUCAUUCCAUUGAAAUCCCUAGCAGAGGACCUGGCCCACCGAGAAAACUCAUCUGCUAUCAAUCCUACUUUAAAAAAAUUUUUUAAGAAAUUGUCCAGGCGUGGUAGCUCAGCCUGUAAUUCCAGCACUUUGGGAGGCCGAGGUGGGUGGAUCACUUGAGGCCAAGAGUUCGAGACCAGCCUGGCCAACAGGGCAAAACCCCGUCUCUGCUAAAACUACAAAAUUAGCCGGACAUGGUGGUGUGCGCCUGUAACCCCAGCUACUCAGGAGGCUGAGGCAGGGAAUCGCUUGAACCCAGGAGGUGGAGGUUGCAGUGAGCCAAGGUCGUGCCACUGCACUCCAGUCUGGGCAAUAGAGUGAGACUCCAUCUGAAAAAUUAAAAUAAAAUAAAAUAAACGAGCUUCUUUGCUGAGCCCAACACUUAUAUCCAUUCCCCUCAACAUGUGCUAUGAGUUCUGAUCUUACUGUAGACCGGACCACCUCCAGUCCUGCUCCCCACCCCCAUCGCCCCCAUCCCCACACCUUCCCCAUCUCGGGGAACUUAAGAUGUCGCCCUGCAGCUGCUCGGGCCAGCAUCCUUUAGUCUGUCCCCACAUCUGGCCCAUUAGCCAAAUCUGUCAGCUUCACCGCUAAGUUAAAUCCAGCAUUCUCCACCGCCCCCGACUUGGGUGAGAUCCACUCACCUCCUCCCUGUGCCCCUACUUCUGCCCUCGCCCCCAGCAGUCUGUCCCCAGGCAGCCGCCAGAGGGCGCCCAUUAGCGCCUAAAUCAGCGCCUGUCCCUCCGCUGCUCAGAGACCUUGGCUUACCCAGAGUCAAAGUCCGAGUUGUCACUCACCGUGACCACAGGGUCCUGGCUGGCCCGGCGCCUCUCCUCCUCUCAUCUGUCGCCCGCUCACCCUACUGUAGCCCUACUGGCCUCCUCCUCCCUGCUCCUCAAACACACUUGACCAGCUCCUGCCAGGGAAACCGGUUCCAUCCAGAGCCUGGCUUGUGUCCCUCUCUCAGUGAAUACCCACAGCGACCCCCCAAGGCAGGUAAAUGAGACGGUGCUCACUGGACCAGUGGGGAGAGUGCCGCUCAGGGAGACUGCGACAGUCGCCAAGCCACAGGGCCAGCACGCUGGAGCCCAAUCCAACUCUGAAACCGGCACUGGAGAUAAAGUAAGAAAAGGAGAGGGGAAGACUUCUGGGUCUCCUGAAGCUGAUGUGUUAGAGGUGGGAGACACCAACAAAGAAAAAUAAACCAGAAGACAAGUAAAACAAGUCAAUUCCACCAUCUGUUGGAAGGCCCAAAGUGCUAUGGAAGGAAAAGUAAAGCAGGAAGGGGGAAGGAGGGCGGUGGGAGGGUGUGCAGGUGGCUGUGAUUGUCAAUGGGGACCUGGGAAGGCCUCGUUGGGGGUGAAACCAGAGCCCACCAGAAGGAGCAGGACGGAGGCAGGGGGUUCCCCGGGAGGGCAUCCUGGCAGGCACUGUUGGAAAGGCAGCAGGUAGCCAUAUAACCUCACCAACAAAAUGCCUGCAUGCCAGGCAGUGCACAGAGGGCUUACCACAUUGACCCCAUUUUAACCCUCAGAGCGACCCUUUGAGGUAGCACUACUACUCUCACUAUUUUAUUUUUUGAGACAGGGUCCCACUCUGUCACCCACACUGGAGUACAGUGGCGCAAUCAUAGCUCACCACAGCCUUGAACUCCUGGGCUCAAGUGAUCCUCCCGGCUCCUCUGCCUCCUGAGUAGCUGGGAGUAAACGUGUGAGCUACCAUGCUUUGCUAAUUAUUAUUAAUUUUAAAAAUUUUUAUUUAUUUAUUUUUUGAGACAGAGCCCCGCUCUUGUUGCCCAGGCUGGAGUGCAGUGGUGCAAUCUCGGCUCACUACAACCUCUGCCUCCCAGGUUCAAGCAAUUCUCUUGCCUCAGCCUCCCUAGCUGGGAUUACAGGCAUGCCGGGCUAAUUUUGUAUUUUUAGUAGAGACUGAAUGUCACCAUGGUCAGGCUGGUCUCAAACUCCUGACCUCAAGUGAUCCACCCACCUCAGUCUCCCAAAGUGCUGGGAUUACAGGUGUGAGCCACCGCACCAGGUUUUUAUUAUAUUAUUUUGUUGAGACACAGUCUCACUCUGUCGCCCAGGCUGGAGUGCAGUGGCAUGAUCUCAGCUCACUGCAAUCUCUGCCUCCCAGGUUCAAGCGAUUCUCAUGCCUCAGUCUCCUCGGUAGCUGGGAUUACAGGCACCUGCCACCGCGCCCGGCUAAUUUAUGUAUUUUUUUUAGUAGACACAGGGUUUCACCACGUUGGCCAGCUGGUCUCAAACUCCUGACCUCAGGUGAUCCACCUGCCUCGGCCUCCCAAAGUGCUGGGAUUACAGGUGUGAGCCACCGCACCCGACCCUGGCUAGUUAUUUUCAAUUUUUGUAGAGAUGGGGUCUUACUAUGUUGUCCAGGCUGGUCUUGAACUCCUGGCCUCAAAUAAUUCUCCUGCCUUGGCCUCCAAAAGUGCUGGGAUUACAGGCAUGAGCUACCCCGUCCGGCCUCUCCCUGAGUAACCUCAGUCACUGGUUUCACGCUCACAGUAUUAGCGUACCCAGUCGUUGACGCCAGGCAUAGUGUCUGCACUCAUCGCUGCAGUCCUGGCAUACAGCAAGGGCUCAACAGAACGAACGCAGUGGAGCUGGGAGAAUACCUGAGGUCUGAGAGGAACCUAAGAAGUCCCCGCCCCUCCUCUAUCACAUGACAGUUAGGUAAAGUGAGGCCCGGAGAGAGAGGCUUCAGCGGCUCACCCAGCCCCCGUGGGCCUGGAUCCAGGGCGUGAAGCUGUGCACGUGCUCCACGCUGAGUCCGGCCAGGGUGCCCCCCAGCCCGGCCACGCAACAGCUCCACCAGGCGGGCGAAAGAGUCGGAGGACAGGCGGACCAGCUUGCUGCGCAGGGCGGGGUCCGAGGCCAGCUGUAGGGUGGAAGAGGCAGGGUCCGCGUCAGCAGCGCCCCCGGGGCCAGCCAAUAGAGGGCCGGGAGGCGUGGCUUCCCGGUUCAGGAUCGUUCUAGAUGCUAAGGUUCUAGGCCACCCCUCAUCCAUAUUAGCCAAUCAAGCCAGACUCCAGGGUCUCUGCCAAACUACCCCCGGGAUAGUGGCCUGGAACGUGAGUCCCUAAGCCAUGCCAGGCCCUUGCCUCAACAGCCAAUCAGGGCCAAUCUCUACUGUAACUGAGUUAAUCUAGCCAUGCCCCUGGUGACCUUUCCCAGGGGCCAACCUAGUGUCUACAACAAUCUUGCCCUCUACCAUUCAAUUAAUAUUAAAGGACGAUGUACCUUGUCCAAGCUCCGAAGCCAAUCA
rnacentral:lncRNA from 10 species